rnacentral:rRNA from 1 species
AUUGAACGCUGGCGGCAUGCCUUACACAUGCAAGUCGAACGGCAGCACGGGGCAACCUGGUGGCGAGUGGCGAACGGGUGAGUAAUGCAUCGGAACGUACCUUUCAGUGGGGGAUAACGUAGCGAAAGUUACGCUAAUACCGCAUAUUCUGUGAGCAGGAAAGCAGGGGAUCGCAAGACCUUGCGCUGAUUGAGCGGCCGAUGUCAGAUUAGCUAGUUGGUGAGGUAAAGGCUCACCAAGGCGACGAUCUGUAGCGGGUCUGAGAGGAUGAUCCGCCACACUGGAACUGAGACACGGUCCGGACUCCUACGGGAGGCAGCAGUGGGGAAUUUUGGACAAUGGGGGCAACCCUGAUCCAGCCAUGCCGCGUGAGUGAAGAAGGCCUUCGGGUUGUAAAGCUCUUUCGGCCGGGAAGAAAUCGCACAGGUUAAUACCUUGUGUGGAUGACGGUACCGGAAUAAGAAGCACCGGCUAACUCUGUGCCAGCAGCCGCCGUAACAC